AGAUUGAACGCUGGCGGCAGGCCUAACACAUGCAAGUCGAACGGUAACAGGAAGAGCUUGCUUCUUUGCUGACGAGUGGCGGACGGGUGAGUAAUGUCUGGGAAACUGCCUGAUGGAGGGGGAUAACUACUGGAAACGGUAGCUAAUACCGCAUAACGUCGCAAGACCAAAGAGGGGGACCUUCGGGCCUCUUGCCAUCGGAUGUGCCCAGAUGGGAUUAGCUGUGGUGGGGUAACGGCUCACCAGGCGACGAUCCCUAGCUGGUCUGAGAGGAUGACCAGCCACACUGGAACUGAGACACGGUCCAGACUCCUACGGGAGGCAGCAGUGGGGAAUAUUGCACAAUGGGCGCAAGCCUGAUGCAGCCAUGCCGCGUGUAUGAAGAAGGCCUUCGGGUUGUAAAGUACUUUCAGCGGGGAGGAAGGGAGUAAAGUUAAUACCUUUGCUCAUUGACGUUACCCGCAGAAGAAGCACCGGCUAACUCCGUGCCAGCAGCCGCGGUAAUACGGAGGGUGCAAGCGUUAAUCGGAAUUACUGGGCGUAAAGCGCACGCAGGCGGUUUGUUAAGUCAGAUGUGAAAUCCCCGGGCUCAACCUGGGAACUGCAUCUGAUACUGGCAAGCUUGAGUCUCGUAGAGGGGGGUAGAAUUCCAGGUGUAGCGGUGAAAUGCGUAGAGAUCUGGAGGAAUACCGGUGGCGAAGGCGGCCCCCUGACGAAGACUA
rnacentral:rRNA from 1 species